CUCCUGGAAACGGGUGGUAAUGCCGGAUGCUCCGCCCCCUCGCAUGGGGGGUCGGGAAGGCUUUUGCGGGAUGGGGUGGGGUCGCGUCCUAUCAGCUUGUUGGCGGGGCGACGGCCCACCAAGGCUUCGACGGGUAGCCGGCCUGAGAGGGCGACCGGCCACAUUGGGACUGAGAUACGGCCCAGACUCCUACGGGAGGCAGCAGUGGGGAAUAUUGCACAAUGGGGGGAACCCUGAUGCAGCGACGCCGCGUGCGGGAUGGAGGCCUUCGGGUCGUGAACCGCUUUUGAUUGGGAGCAAGCGUGAGUGAGUGUACCUUUCGAAUAAGCACCGGCUAACUACGUGCCAGCAGCCGCGGUAAUACGUAGGGUGCAAGCGUUGUCCGGAAUCAUUGGGCGUAAAGGGCUCGUAGGCGGUUCGUCGCGUCCGGUGUGAAAGCCCAUCGCUUAACGGUGGGUCUGCGCCGGGUACGGGCGGGCUUGAGUGCGGCAGGGGAGGCUGGAAUUCCCGGUGUAACGGUGGAAUGUGUAGAUAUCGGGAAGAACACC
rnacentral:rRNA from 1 species